rnacentral:misc_RNA from 1 species
UUUGCAGGUAAGGAUCAUUAACACGUAUCCAACGUUAACAACCUGUGAACUUUCAUUACGAGUUACAUCCACGUCAUAAACCGGCAAUCUCUGGUAAAUCAUCGCCGAACAGUUUGAUUCAGAGACCUCUGGGGGUGUACGAUAGUGCGAGGCAAUUGACCUGGCAUUCCUCUGUUUGUUAGUGUCUGAAAGUGUCACUAGCUAUGUAUCGCUGGAGGCCGACACGGCCGGCGACCAGGUCACUGGGCUACGGCCCCCCUGAUCACAACCUUUGCAUGAAAACGGGCCUGCGCUGAGGUGCGGCCACCCCUAAUGCUUGAACAACUGUUC